AUCUAGUUCCAUCCGGAAAGAUGCCAAAAUUCAACGUUAUGAUCCUUCCCAGUCCCCAGCCGACUGCCCAUCGCGGGGGUCAAAGGCGGCGUGCACAGCACUUUGAAUCCAAGCAGCCAGCUCUAAACUAUCAUUAAUACAAAUAUUGUUUCUUUCCCACUUUUUAAAUUAUUAUUAUUAUUAUUUUACCGUGGAAACACAACUCUCUAGUUUUCAGUCCCGGGUGGGUGCUUGCUUUCCAUUCCCUCCCCAGUCAGCGGCGCUCCGUGCCGGGCCGUGGGGGUGCGCUGCGGGGCCCGUCCNCUCCCCUGCCCCGCGGGGCUGUCCCGGCUCGCUCGGGGCCGCGCUCCCGGCCCGCGGGGCUCGCACCUGGCGGGGCUCACCGGGACCGGGGCGCACCGGGACCGGCGUCUGCUCUUACAGGGUUGAGCGAGAAGCAAACAGCUGGAGCACAGUGACGCCGUUCCCACCGUACGUGAAAACUGCCGCACUCGGGCUUUCCUUAGUCAUACUUCCCGGUUUUAAGAAGAGGAGGAGAGUAGCCAUAGUGUCUGUUUGAACUUGAGUCUCCUGAGAUUUCCAAGCAGCUGGAAGAAACUGGUGACAACUCCUGCUGCCCAUUAGUUUCUGAAGAGCAGAACUGAAACUGGCAGGAACAUUGGUAGCUGUACACUGCUAUGUUUUGGAUAAAUGAGAAGAGAAAACAAAAGCAACCUUUGUAUACAUCAUCUUUGAGACCAAGAAAGACUAGAAACUAAAAAAAGAUCAGAGAAUUAUGAUUUGCAUCAAGUUAUUUAUGCUUACAAAUCAUGAUUCAUUGUGGAAAGUGUCUCAUUCACAGCUUGGAAGUAUGUAGACAGGUUGGGUUUUCGGGGUUUGAUUUUUAAACUUCGUUGUAUUUAAUCUGACCAGCUGGGCACUUCAUACCUUUAUAUAUAUAUAUAUAUAUAUAUAUAUAUAUAGGUAUAGACAGAUAGAUAUAGAUAUGGAUAGAUAUAGAUAGCUAGAUAUAGAUAUACAGAUAUACAAAGUUCCCCUUUUUUACUGUGCUAAAUUAAGGAUGCGGCCACUGUAAAAUAAUUUUUACCUAAUACGUUCUUCUAAUCCUGGAUGCAAAACAACUAGUUAAAGUUCCUAUUAUUUUUAUCACAUUCUGCAAUACAUGAGCAUGUUGUAUAUGUAAUUUAAACUGGUUUGUGUUUCAAGAAUGGAAAAUCUGGUAUUCCAUUGUGAUCCACAGCUUUCAGUCUGACUUUUCAGUCAAGGAUGCUGGGAUUAAUGAAUGUAUUAAUUAGCAAAAUCUUAGUGAAGAGGUAUAUUUCUUCAUCCUCCUAAAUGUGGCAGUCUUGAGAAGGUAUCUCUUUAAAGGAGAAAUUCUAAGACAGUGGUGAUUCAUAACAAUUUCAAGUAACAUAAUUUGUAUGGGAAUUUAGGAAACCUAAAUAGGCAUAUUGUAGUAAAAACAUGAGAUUGCACAGCUGCUGUACUUCACCUUUUUUGAAAUUUAUUUUCAUUGUCUGAAGACAAGAAUUAAAAUUUUUCUAUAGUCACACUGUUCUAUGGAUCUUCAAAAAACAGGUAAUGAUUCUUACAGACCGUUUUUCCCAUUUAAAAAAUGUUCCUGCAUAUUGUGUUAUGAUUUAUUAUCUCUUAAGUAUGUAUCAUUAAAUAAAAGCAAUCAGUCCUUUGUAUUCCUACUAGUU
rnacentral:lncRNA from 1 species